GGAUGACAGAGCAAGACUCUGUCUCAAAAACAACAACAACAACAGCAGCAGCAACCACAGCAACCAUCACAGCUCUCAGAAAAGCAUUUUAAGCUAAAGGUAACCUUCUGAUUUCAAUUGCCCAUUUGGAUCAACCAUCAGACCUAGUCAUGGAGAGGAGGCGAAAAAACGGAAUCUAGGAAAGAAUGAGCCAGGAUCAUGUGGACCAAGCUGAAGCCUGAAUCUUCCUCGCCAGAAAAACCCCAGCAACCAAUUACCCUGGACGUGACGCCGAGGCCCACCUAGUGGUCAGCCAUCUGCCUAGGCAGACAAUAAAGCUCAAUUUUUCUCCUUCUC